rnacentral:lncRNA from 1 species
UGUGGGGCUCAAUCCCAGGACCCUGGGAUCAUGACCUGAGCCAAAGGCAGAUGCUUAACUGACUAAGCUACCCAGGCAUCCCCAAUUGUGUCUUAACAGAGACUUCAGAAAGGCAGAGGAGUGGGAAAGCAUUACAGUGAAAAAGAGGAAGGCUUCAGGUGGCUGCUUGCACCAAACGUCUUUGUGCAUUACAACAUGCAACAACAAAAAAGAACAGGAACUCUAAAAAGGCUUGUGCACAGUGCAUUUGGUUGGAAGGAAUGGCAGUGACUUGUCACCCAAGGAAAGACCUGAGCCUGCUUAGGAAGACUGCUCUGUGGAUCAUCUGCAUGGAAUAGAAAAGAAGAAUUGUUGCUGUGUACUGAACAGACUGACUUGCCAUCUUGUUGGCCUCUCUCAGAAUAUAGAAACCAGAGAUGCUUUUUAGGAAAUUCAAUUAACUAUGUUUAUAAAUGGGGUUAACUGUUUAAGGGAAUUUAAUUUGUUUAGUUUAGCCAUUAAUUGAACAUUAAUAAAAG